ACCCGCUGAACUUAAGCAUAUCAAUAAGCGGAGGAAAAGAAACCAACAGGGAUUGCCCUAGUAACGGCGAGUGAAGCGGCAACAGCUCAAAUUUGAAAUCUGGCGUCUUUGGCGUCCGAGUUGUAAUUUGCAGUGGGCGCUUUGGCAUUGGCAGCGGUCCAAGUUCCUUGGAACAGGACGUCACAGAGGGUGAGAAUCCCGUACGUGGUCGCUAGCCUUUACCGUGUAAAGCCCCUUCGACGAGUCGAGUUGUUUGGGAAUGCAGCUCUAAAUGGGAGGUAAAUUUCUUCUAAAGCUAAAUACUGGCCAGAGACCGAUAGCGCACAAGUAGAGUGAUCGAAAGAUGAAAAGCACUUUGGAAAGAGAGUUAAAAAGCACGUGAAAUUGUUGAAAGGGAAGCGCUUGCAGCCAGACUUGCCUGUAGUUGCUCAUCCGGGUUUUUACCCGGUGCACUCUUCUAUAGGCAGGCCAGCAUCAGUUUGGGCGGUUGGAUAAAGGUCUCUGUCAUGUACCUCUCUUCGGGGAGAACUUAUAGGGGAGACGACAUGCAACCAGCCCGGACUGAGGUCCGCGCAUCUGCUAGGAUGCUGGCGUAAUGGCUGU
rnacentral:rRNA from 1 species